rnacentral:misc_RNA from 1 species
AGUCGUAACAAGGUUUCCGUAGGUGAACCUGCGGAAGGAUCAUUACCGAGUGCGGGUCUUUAUGGCCCAACCUCCCACCCGUGACUAUUGUACCUUGUUGCUUCGGCGGGCCCGCCAGCGUUGCUGGCCGCCGGGGGGCGACUCGCCCCCGGGCCCGUGCCCGCCGGAGACCCCAACAUGAACCCUGUUCUGAAAGCUUGCAGUCUGAGUGUGAUUCUUUGCAAUCAGUUAAAACUUUCAACAAUGGAUCUCUUGGUUCCGGCAUCGAUGAAGAACGCAGCGAAAUGCGAUAACUAAUGUGAAUUGCAGAAUUCAGUGAAUCAUCGAGUCUUUGAACGCACAUUGCGCCCCCUGGUAUUCCGGGGGGCAUGCCUGUCCGAGCGUCAUUGCUGCCCUCAAGCCCGGCUUGUGUGUUGGGCCCUCGUCCCCCGGCUCCCGGGGGACGGGCCCGAAAGGCAGCGGCGGCACCGCGUCCGGUCCUCGAGCGUAUGGGGCUUCGUCUUCCGCUCCGUAGGCCCGGCCGGCGCCCGCCGACGCAUUUGUUUGCAACUUGUUUUUUUCCAGGUUGACCUCGGAUCAGGUAGGGAUACCCGCUGAACUUAAGCAUAUCAAUAAGCGGAGGA